rnacentral:lncRNA from 1 species
CUACUAAUCAUACUUACAAACUACAUUACCCUAAACCAUAUCCACACAUAACAGAAAUAAAAGGAAUCCCUCUAUGAAUUCUAGCAACAAACUUAGACAGCCCCGUUGAGAAUUCCACGAAAAGAAUGCAACUGCAUACAAAGAAAGACAUGAAAUACACAGCCGUAGAAGAGAUUGUAGCAGUAAAUACAAGAGAAACAGAACUUGAAAAGGCAGACACCAAGCGAAGAGAAAUAACAUAUAUGAAAUGUAGAAGCAGAGACAACGUACUCUGCAUAGGAGACGAUAUUUUCACUUGAAGAAGAAAUGAAGUAGACAUACCGUCAAGAGGAAGGAAGAGAAUGCGGUCCCGUACAGAGAGAAUCGGGGCGACUUCACUCGCCGAAGAAGAUAGGAUGAGGAAGAUGAAAAGAUGAGUCCUGGCUGUGGACCUGAAAUUUUGAAACCCUAGCCUAGGACCCGGUGAUAAUUGCGCAAAGAUUGUUAAUGUUCUAGCUCAAGCUUCGGAGUGACUUGAGUAUCGGUAAGCUCUUACCUUAUUCUUCUUUUUAUUUAUUCUUGCCAGGUUUUUGCCCUAACAACAUGGAGAUGGGGCUGGGGCUCACAAGUCGCCUUCU